AAUCAAAUGCUGUUUCUCUCCUGUAAUUUAAUUUCAAAUGCAGCUGUCCAUCUAGUUCACGUGCAGAUCAUUACACCUUUUAAUUUUUAACAAUGCUAUUGGGCUGGAUGCAUGAGAAAGAUAAUGGGCAGGAAUUUUUCUUUCUUGUGGUAAUGAAAAGACUGUCUUGGCCAUACAUUUUUAAUUCAAUUUUAAACAUUAAUGCUUUUGAAAAGAACUAUUAGGCUAUGGUUAAUCUUCCCAGGUGCUAGGCUAGACAAUCACAUCUUGAAAAACACAUGCAUUGCUCCUACAGCAAGUGCACAACUUCAAGACGUGCAAACAUAUGCUAGUCAAAACCUAUUCUUUCAGUAUGGCAGAUUAUAUGUGCCAAAGUAGGUUUAUGAAUGUCUACCCAGCUCCUGCCCAUCUUUUUCUAGUCAUUCUUAAAAAUCUGUUGUAAAACUUAAUCAUUAAUUUGCAUCACACUAUGCACACUCUGCUUGAUAACAUAUGAAAAUUUCAAAACAAAGCUGGAAAAGGGCCUGGAAAAAAAGCAUGUAUAUACCAUUACAGGGUUGUUCAGUGCUUUGAAUCUCAGAAUUAAAUGUUUUAAUGUAAUGAAUUACUAACCAGGUCCUAUAUUCUCUGAAGAUAAUUAGAAGCCCGGCUCUCACUGAUCUUAAUGGGAUAUAGCUACUUAAGAGUCUCUUAAGAAUAACUAAUACUAUGGCAUUGCAAUAUGUGCCAGAUAUGACUUACAUUUAACACAGCAUGGCUUUGAUCUUAAAAAGAAAACUGCAGGCAUUCCGCAGUUCACCUACGAGAAUAAUAAUCCAGUGCCAUUGUGCUUCAUCUGAUCGAAUCUGCAAGUUGACAAGCAAGAGAGAAUACCUGACAUAACAUGAUGCAGGAGAGCAGUUUAGUAAAUUGCUGAAGGGGAUGCAGGAAAUGGACCAAGUGAAUGAAAAGUGAAAGAAAUAAGGAUCAGCUCAGGUGAAAAAUGACAAUAAUUCCAACAAAAGUCAAGAAAAUAGCUGAAAUUGACUCAGAUUCAUCAAUUUUCAUGAACUUUCAGAAAGAACAUGUGUUACUAAAGAAACUAAGCAGUCAUUUCAUUUCCACAGAGCAAUCAAAAGUCCGAUUUCAUCACAGUGCUGGGAGAUUCAAUAAGAAUUAAAUAUUAGGAAUUACUGCAUUCUGUUAUUUUCUUCUUGAAAGCUGGCAACGUGUUACACUCUUAGCUUUCACUCAAGGAAGUGAUAAGUUUCCAGCCUUCACAGCUCCAGCUGCAUUUUGUGACCUGUCCUGUUCACUGAAGUUAAUUGAAGUUCUGCAACUUAUGUCAAAGAACGAAGCAGCAAGCCAUAUUCUUCCUCAUCUGUCACCCCCAAGAGAUGGACGGACAAGGUGUCCCAGAUCUAUGGGAAAGUUUAACUGCUAUAUUGCAGCGUGACUGAUAUCCAUGUGUCACUACUAUGCUGUUCACAGAGGAUAAACUAUUUGCUCAAUGAUUGAGGAAAAAUGGAAGUCCCAAGCUUCAACCUACCUGCCAAAAUCGAGAGUGCGUAGUACCUGAUGGAUACUCUUCCUGGACUUCUGUUGUACUGGAAACCCAGGGAAGUAUAACCCCAGGUUACAAGACACAUGGCUACUGUAAGAUGAAGGCAUGAACUGAAAAAAUGACAAAUAACAGGAAGAGAACGUUGGAAGAAGAGCACAAAAAAUUAGAAUUGGACAUGUGAUGUUCAGGCUGUUUAUUAUACCAAAGAGUUUGAAAUGCUCUUAUUUCUAAAUCAGGUUUAAAAUUCAGUUUUGAGUUUUUCUAUGAUUUAGUUUGUCUUUGGUGGGAUUUUAGUUUGCUUAUUUUGGUUUUGAUAUUAUUCU
rnacentral:lncRNA from 7 species